rnacentral:rRNA from 1 species
AAAGGAAUUGACGGGGGCCCGCACAAGCAGCGGAGCGUGUGGUUUAAUUCGACGCAACGCGAAGAACCUUACCAAGGCUUGACAUCCCUCGCCAUCUAUAGAAAUAUAGAGUUCCCUUCGGGGACGAGGAGACAGGUGGUGCACGGUUGUCGUCAGCUCGUGUCGUGAGAUGUUGGGUUAAGUCCCGCAACGAGCGCAACCCUUGUACUUAGUUGCUAACACCUAGGGUGAGCACUUUAAGUAGACUGCCGCAGAGAAUGCGGAGGAAGGUGGGGAUGACGUCAAAUCAUCAUGCCCCUUAUGUCUUGGGCUACACACGCGCUACAAUGGUCUUUACAAAGGGCAGCAACGUCGCGAGGCGAAGCGAAUCCCAUAAAAGAGAUCUCAGUUCGGAUUGCAGGCUGCAACUCGCCUGCAUGAAGUCGGAGUUGCUAGUAAUCGCGAAUCAGAACGUCGCGGUGAAUACGUUCCCGGGCCUUGUACACACCGCCCGU